GAACUUAAAUUCGGCAUAGCCUAAAACAAGCCCAAACUUCUCACCCGGUUUCACACCUAGGCUUGAGAGCUCAGUAUCUAGACUCCCUCAUUUCCUUAUCCCUUCAGCCUCUUAAAUCUGUCACCCCUUCUCCGUAGCCACCGUUUCAGCCAGACCUUUGCAUUCCAAACACAACUGAAAGUAGGAAGUGCCCUCUCAAAGGUGUGUCUGCUGAACCUCUGCUGAUACUUUCUUUGCGGCAAGUCAUCUGACUCGCUCCUCCAGAGACUCAGCCUUCUGCCCGCCGCCUGGAACCCUGGCAGAAACACCAUUAUGCAGAGUACCUAGAGGAGUGGCCAUGGGAAUUUGGCGGCAGAUGAGGGCCUGGAAGACAUCAGUUACCCUGAGGAGCCUGAAAAGAAGAAAAACGGCCCACCCUACAUGGACGCCUUUCUUGGAUCUUAGCCAGUUCAAGCCCCAACUCAGGAAAACCGUCCCUGAGCUCCCUUUCAUCUGCUUGCAUAGCACUGACCUCUUCACUGCAAAUAUUCAUUUGUGUGAUUCUGUUUUCUAAAAAUUCUAAUGGUAAAAACCAUAUCUGUUUUUGCUCA